UACGUAGGGUGCGAGCGUUUGUCCGGAAUUAUUGGGCGUAAAGGGCUCGUAGGCGGUUUGUCGCGUCGGGAGUGAAAUCCACUGGCUUAACUGGUGGCUUGCUUUCGAUACGGGCAGACUGGAGGUAUGCAGGGGGAGAACGGAAUUCCUGGUGUAGCGGUGAAAUGCGCAGAUAUCAGGAGGAACACCGGUGGCGAAGGCGGUUCUCUGGGCCGUAACUGACGCUGAGGAGCGAAAGCGUGGGGAGCGAACAGG
rnacentral:rRNA from 1 species